rnacentral:rRNA from 1 species
AGAGUUUGAUCCUGGCUCAGAUUGAACGCUGGCGGCAGGCUUAACACAUGCAAGUCGAGCGGAAACGGCAUAGGCAAUCCCUUCGGGGUGCGCUUAUGAACGUCGAACGGCGGACGGGUGAGUAAUGCCUGGGAAUCUGCCUGGUAGUGGGGGAUAACUUGCCGAAAGGUAAGCUAAUACCGCGUACGCCCUACGGGGGAAAGCAGGGGAUCUUCGGACCUUGCGCUAUCAGAUGAGCCCAGGCCGGAUUAGCUAGUUGGUAGGGUAAAGGCCUACCAAGGCGACGAUCCGUAGCUGGUCUGAGAGGAUGAUCAGCCACACCGGGACUGAGACACGGCCCGGACUCCUACGGGAGGCAGCAGUGGGGAAUAUUGGACAAUGGGGGGAACCCUGAUCCAGCCAUGCCGCGUGUGUGAAGAAGGUCUUCGGAUUGUAAAGCACUUUAAGUUGGGAGGAAGAGCUCCGGGCUAAUACCCUGCGAGUUUUGACAUUACCAACAGAAUAAGCACCGGCUAACUUCGUGCCAGCAGCCGCGGUAAUACGAAGGGUGCGAGCGUUAAUCGGAAUUACUGGGCGUAAAGCGCGCGUAGGUGGUUUGUUAAGUUGGAAGUGAAAGCCCCGGGCUCAACCUGGGAAUUGCUUUCAAAACUGACGGGCUAGAGUACGGUAGAGGGUAGUGGAAUUUCCUGUGUAGCGGUGAAAUGCGUAGAUAUAGGAAGGAACAUCAGUGGCGAAGGCGACUGCCUGGACUGAUACUGACACUGAGGUGCGAAAGCGUGGGGAGCAAACAGGAUUAGAUACCCUGGUAGUCCACGCCGUAAACGAUGUCAACUUGGUUGUUGGGGGGUCUUGUACCUUUAAUAACGCACCUAACGCAUUAAGUUGACCGCCUGGGGGAGUAAGGCCGCCAGGUUAAAACUCAAAUGAAUUGAUUGGGGGCUCCCACAAGAGGGGGAAUAUGGUGGUUUAAUUUCAAACCAACGGCAAAAAACUUUACCUGGGUUUGA